rnacentral:rRNA from 1 species
UUUUUAGAGAGUUUGAUCCUGGCUCAGGAUGAACGCUGGCGGCGUGCCUAACACAUGCAAGUCGAACGGAACUAUUUUGGAAACUCCUUCGGGAGCGGAAUCUUUAGU